rnacentral:rRNA from 1 species
UACGAAGGGGGCUAGCGUUGCUCGGAAUCACUGGGCGUAAAGGGUGCGUAGGCGGGUUGGUAAGUCCGUGGUGAAAUCCCCAAGCUUAACUUGGGAACUGCCGUGGAUACUAUCAAUCUUGAAUAUCGUGGAGGUAAGCGGAAUAAUGUCAUGUAGCGGUGAAAUGCUUAGAUAUGACAUAGAACACCAAUUGCGUAGGCAGCUUACUACACGAUCAUUGACGCUGAGGCACGAAAGCGUGGGGAGCAAACAGGA